AUGAGGAUGCCUAACCCCAGAGAAGUUGAUCGUGCUCUUUUCAUUGAACAUAUUAAGCUGAAAAAAUGUGGAGUGGCUGUUAAAUUUCCCCCCUAGUCCGAGGAUAUAGAUUUCGAAGGGCUCCUGGAAGUUGCUUGGGUGAGGAUUGGGAGAAUUCCUCCUAAUAAACGAUGUGAUAAGACUGUGGCUUAUGUGGGGCGGCUUGUGGGCAUAACACUUGAGGUUGAUAUGUCCACUUUGAACCGCCCGUCUUCAAUGAGAGCUAAAAUUGGAUGUCGAUUUGUGAAACAGCUCCCUAUCACAGCUGAAGGAGUGUUGGGGGGGGGGCGUUUCUAUAAAUUCACCUAUGAGGUGGAAGAAAUCCUGAUGGUUAAUGUUGUUAAUGAAGAGGCUGUGCGUGUUGAAGCUAAAGAUAAUCCUCCUAAAUCUGAUUAG
rnacentral:rRNA from 1 species